rnacentral:tRNA from 1 species
CCCUGGGUAGUGUAAACAGCUAACCCAUUCAGCUACUAACCGAAAAGUUGGUGGUUCAAGUCCACCCACAGGUA